GACGAACGCUGGCGGCGUGCCUAACACAUGCAAGUCGAACGGAACUGUUUUGAAAGAUUUCUUCGGAAUGAAUUUGAUUUAGUUUAGUGGCGGACGGGUGAGUAACGCGUGAGUAACCUGCCUUCAAGAGGGGAAUAACAUUCUGAAAAGAAUGCUAAUACCGCAUGACAUAUCGGAACCACAUGGUUUUGAUAUCAAAGAUUUUAUCGCUUGAAGAUGGACUCGCGUCCGAUUAGUUAGUUGGUGAGGUAACGGCUCACCAAGACCGCGAUCGGUAGCCGGACUGAGAGGUUGAACGGCCACAUUGGGACUGAGACACGGCGCAGACUCCUACGGGAGGCAGCAGUGGGGGAUAUUGCGCAAUGGGGGCAACCCUGACGCAGCAACGCCGCGUGAAGGAUGAAGGUUUUCGGAUUGUAAACUUCUUUUAUUAAGGACGAAAAAUGACGGUACUUAAUGAAUAAGCUCCGGCUAACUACGUG
rnacentral:rRNA from 1 species